ACGGGUGCGUAACACGUGGAUUACAUACCGGAAAGCGAGGAAUAGCCCAGGGAAACUUGGAUUAAUACCUCAUGUGGUCGCAAGACUAAAGGCGGGGCAACCUGUCGCUUUCUGAUUGGUCCGCGGCCUAUCAGCUAGUUGGCGGGGUAACGGCCCACCAAGGCGACGACGGGUAGCUGGUCUGAGAGGAUGACCAGCCACACUGGAACUGAGACACGGUCCAGACACCUACGGGUGGCAGCAGUCGAGAAUCAUUCACAAUGGGGGCAACCCUGAUGGUGCGACGCCGCGUGGAGGAUAAGGUCUUCGGAUUGUAAACUCCUGUCAUGCGAGAGCAAGAUUUGAGCGGGUAACUCCGCUGAAUUUGAUAGUAUCGCAAGAGGAAGAGACGGCUAACUCUGUGCCAGCAGCCGCGGUAAUACAGAGGUCUCAAGCGUUGUUCGGAAUCACUGGGCGUAAAGGGUGCGUAGGUGGCGUGGAAAGUCAGAUGUGAAAUCCGGGGGCUCAACCUCCGAAUAGCAUCCGAUACUCCCAUGCUAGAGAACUGGAGGGGGAUCUGGAAUUCUCGGUGUAGCAGU
rnacentral:rRNA from 1 species